rnacentral:rRNA from 1 species
CGUGUCGUGAGAUGUUGGGUUAAGUCCCGCAACGAGCGCAACCCUUGAUCUUAGUUGCCAGCAUUCAGUUGGGCACUCUAAGGUGACUGCCGGUGACAAACCGGAGGAAGGUGGGGAUGACGUCAAAUCAUCAUGCCCCUUAUGACCUGGGCUACACACGUGCUACAAUGGACAGAACAAAGGGCAGCGAAACCGCGAGGUUAAGCCAAUCCCACAAAUCUGUUCUCAGUUCGGAUCGCAGUCUGCAACUCGACUGCGUGAAGCUGGAAUCGCUAGUAAUCGCGGAUCAGCAUGCCGCGGUGAAUACGUUCCCGGGUCUUGUACACACCGA